rnacentral:misc_RNA from 1 species
GAUGAAGAACGUAGCGAAAUGCGAUACUUGGUGUGAAUUGCAGAAUCCCGUGAACCAUCGAGUCUUUGAACGCAAGUUGCGCCCGAAGCCGUCAGGCCGAGGGCACGCCUGCCUGGGCGUCACACGCCGUUGCCCCCCCGCGCCCCGCACCCAACGCUUUGGGAGCGACCGCGGGGCGGGCUGAUGAUGGCCUCCCGUGCGCUCCGCCGCGCGGUUGGCCCAAAUACCGAGUCCCCGGCGACGUGCGCAACGACGAUCGGUGGUUGAGAGACCUCUGUCGCAAGUCGUGCGCGCCCGUCGCGUCACGCGGGCUCGCAUAGCGCCUCGCGCCGCACCCGGUGCGGAGCUUUCAACGCGACCCCAGGUCAGGCGGGGUUACCCGCUGAAUUUAAGCAUAUCAAUAAGCGGAGGA